rnacentral:sRNA from 1 species
AUAUCUCUCUGUACGGGAAGGAUGAGAAGCUUCGACUAAGGUUCGAUUCGAGCGAAAGCGAGAAAGAGUUGCCGCAGGCAACGACCCGAAGGGCGAAGCGCGCAGCGCUGAGUCAUCCUUCCCCCACCACCA